AUUGAACGCUGGCGGCAGGCCUAACACAUGCAAGUCGAGCGGAUGAGGGGAGCUUGCUCCCUGAUUUAGCGGCGGACGGGUGAGUAAUGCGUAGGAAGCUACCCGAUAGAGGGGGAUACCAGUUGGAAACGACUGUUAAUACCGCAUAAUGUCUACGGACCAAAGUGUGGGACCUUCGGGCCACAUGCUAUCGGAUGCGCCUAUGUGGGAUUAGCUAGUUGGUGAGGUAAUGGCUCACCAAGGCGACGAUCCCUAGCUGGUUUGAGAGGAUGAUCAGCCACACUGGAACUGAGACACGGUCCAGACUCCUACGGGAGGCAGCAGUGGGGAAUAUUGGACAAUGGGCGCAAGCCUGAUCCAGCCUUGCCGCGUGUGUGAAGAAGGCCUUCGGGUUGUAAAGCACUUUCAGCGAGGAGGAAGGGGUGAGUGUUAAUAGUACUCAUCUUUGACGUUACUCGCAGAAAAAGCACCGGCUAACUCUGUGCCAGCAGCCGCCGUAAAAC
rnacentral:rRNA from 1 species